CCUACGGGAGGCUGCAGUGGGGAAUAUUGGACAAUGGGCGAAAGCCUGAUCCAGCCAUGCCGCGUGUGUGAAGAAGGCCUUCGGGUUGUAAAGCACUUUCAGUGGGGAAGAAAGCCUUGGGGCUAAUACCCUCGAGGAAGGACAUCACCCACAGAAGAAGCACCGGCUAACUCCGUGCCAGCAGCCGCGGUAAUACGGAGGGUGCGAGCGUUAAUCGGAAUUACUGGGCGUAAGCGCGCGUAGGCGGUCUGAUAAGCCGGUUGUGAAAGCCCCGGGCUCAACCUGGGAACGGCAUCCGGAACUGUCAGGCUAGAGUGCAGGAGAGGAAGGUAGAAUUCCCGGUGUAGCGGUGAAAUGCGUAGAGAUCGGGAGGAAUACCAGUGGCGAAGGCGGCCUUCUGGACUGACACUGACGCUGAGGUGCGAAAGCGUGGGUAGCAAACAGGAUUAGAUACCCUUGUAGUC
rnacentral:rRNA from 1 species